rnacentral:rRNA from 1 species
CACGUAGGGUGCGAGCGUUGUCCGGAAUUAUUGGGCGUAAAGAGCUCGUAGGCGGUCUGUCACGUCGGGAGUGAAAACUCAGGGCUUAACCCUGAGCCUGCUUCCGAUACGGGCAGACUAGAGGUAUGCAGGGGAGAACGGAAUUCCUGGUGUAGCGGUGAAAUGCGCAGAUAUCAGGAGGAACACCGGUGGCGAAGGCGGUUCUCUGGGCAUUACCUGACGCUGAGGAGCGAAAGUGUGGGGAGCGAACAGG